GGUUAUCACAUUAAUCUUAUCUGAUGUUCUCGGAGAUCCUAUGGAUAUAAUAGCAUGUGGCCCUACCGUUCCUGACACGUCCACAAAAAGAGAUUGUCUUGAGAUUGUUGAGAAACUAAAUGCUGGUCAUGAUUUACCACUCAAUGUUAUGGAAUAUCUUAACAGUAAAGAUAACCCAAUAGAGAUUCUUAACUUCUCUCAUGUUAAUAAUAUUAUAAUUGGCAACAACACAGUAGCUGUAGAUGGAGCAUCUUCAAUGGCCUACGAACUUGGGUAUGGUGUCAUUAUUUACAAUACAUAUGUAAGUGGUGAGGCUAGGGAUGUUGGCAAGCUCUAUGCUACAUUAGGAAUUUCAUCUGUAGAAACAACGAAUCUUCCUAUAGCAAUAAAAGAUCUUGCGAAGUCGAGGAAAGCAGUAUGUAUCCUAGGUGCAGGAGAAACUACUGUUUCUGUUCAUGGUAAUGGACGGGGUGGUCGCAAUCAAGAACUUGCUUUGGCUGCUGCCAUUGAAAUGAAUAAAUUUCCUUCUGAAAGAAAUCGUCUCCUACUGAGUGCUGGGACCGACGGUCAAGAUGGCCCUACACCCGCCGCUGGCGCUUACGCAUUUCCAAAUUUAGUUACCAUGGCAACAGCACAAAGUCUUGAUGCCAUAACUUAUCUGGAGAACAAUGAUUCGUUUUCAUUUUAUAGUGGGUUGGAAAAUGGGAAGUAUUUAGUUAAUACUGGCUUAACUGGAACAAAUGUAAUGGAUUUACAGGUCUUGCUAUUAUCGUAAAGUCAAUAGCGAAAUAUUUAAAUAUAUAUUGGAGUCGUCAUAGCCAUGCAUGGUUGUGAAAACAAACGUGUUUGAACGUUGAGCGUUGGAAUGAUUCAGUUGCUUCGGUCCUGAAACUAUGAAGAUCGCGAAAAGCCAGAUUUAUGCUUAACCUGCAAAGCAAGCGUUUGUGACGCGACAUACCACUCAUGAUGCUCUCUAAGGGUGUAGCAAUAAUUAUUGGUUACUUAUGAACAAGUGACAGAAAUACAUGUAUAAUGUGGGAAAUAUUGACUGUAUACGGUGGAUCAUGAUGCUAGAUUCAAAAUACUAAAGAAUGAAAUGAACAAUUAUAUAAAAAAAAAUUAAACUGAAUGCUUGAAGCAAUCUCAUAUUAUUAAAUACACUUUGGUCCCAAAUACUUUGAAAUUUCUCUCCAAAAGGAAAAUUUAAUCUACCGUGUUUAGACUACAAGGCUAGACCUGGCAUGGCAGACUAGUUUAAUUAAUCCGCAAACGUGCAGCGUAAGGCAAAUUACGCCAGGCCUGUGCUUGCGGUGUAAAUAUGACUUUAUUUCCAUUGACCGAAACAUAAUUAAUUAAAUAAGUGGUACUCACAGAGCCUCCUGCGUUUGCAGACUUAUGGGCACCCAAGAUUACAUUACAAAAUGAAUGUGUACCAAUGAUUAAAACUUGUAUAUGUAUACACUAAACGAAACGUUGCCAAGGCUUCAAAGUGUAAAGAACAAAAAGUUCGAUCGAUGAUUCGAUGAUGUAAAAUUGCCAAUAUUCAAUAUUAUUAAGAACUUUUUUAAAUUAAUGUAAUGAUCAACUUGAUGACGCACACCGUUACUAAUUCC
rnacentral:lncRNA from 1 species